AAUUUUUUAGUCAUAAAAUGAUUUU
rnacentral:tRNA from 1 species